GACGAACUGUCCUAACGUUGUUCGGAAUCACUGGGCUUAAAGGGCGCGUAGGCGGUCCGACAAGUCAGGGGUGAAAUCCUACAGCUUAACUGUAGAAGUGCCUUUGAUACUGUCGGUCUUGAGGGAAAUAGGGGUGUGCGGAACUUCCAGUGGAGCGGUGAAAUGCGUUGAUAUUGGAAGGAACGCCGGAGGCGAAAGCGGCGCACUGGAUUUCUUCUGACGCUGAGGCGCGAAAGCUAGGGGAGCAAACGGG
rnacentral:rRNA from 1 species